UACGUAGGGUGCAAGCGUUGUCCGGAAUUAUUGGGCGUAAAGAGCUCGUAGGCGGUUUGUCGCGUCUGCUGUGAAAACGCGGGGCUCAACCCCGCGCCUGCAGUGGGUACGGGCAGACUAGAGUGCAGUAGGGGAGACUGGAAUUCCUGGUGUAGCGGUGGAAUGCGCAGAUAUCAGGAGGAACACCGAUGGCGAAGGCAGGUCUCUGGGCCACUACUGACGCUGAGAAGCGAAAGCAUGGGGAGCGAACAGG
rnacentral:rRNA from 1 species